CUUAAAUUGAAGAGUUUGAUCAUGGCUCAGAUUGAACGCUGGCGGCAGGCCUAACACAUGCAAGUCGAGCGGCAGCGGGAAGUAGUUUACUACUUUGCCGGCGAGCGGCGGACGGGUGAGUAAUGUCUGGGGAUCUGCCUGAUGGAGGGGGAUAACUACUGGAAACGGUAGCUAAUACCGCAUGACCUCGCAAGAGCAAAGUGGGGGACCUUAGGGCCUCACGCCAUCGGAUGAACCCAGAUGGGAUUAGCUAGUAGGUGGGGUAAUGGCUCACCUAGGCGACGAUCCCUAGCUGGUCUGAGAGGAUGACCAGCCACACUGGAACUGAGACACGGUCCAGACUCCUACGGGAGGCAGCAGUGGGGAAUAUUGCACAAUGGGCGCAAGCCUGAUGCAGCCAUGCCGCGUGUGUGAAGAAGGCCUUCGGGUUGUAAAGCACUUUCAGCGAGGAGGAAGGGGUUGAGUUUAAUACGCUCAAUCAUUGACGUUACUCGCAGAAGAAGCACCGGCUAACUCCGUGCCAGCAGCCGCGGUAAUACGGAGGGUGCAAGCGUUAAUCGGAAUUACUGGGCGUAAAGCGCACGCAGGCGGUUUGUUAAGUCAGAUGUGAAAUCCCCGCGCUUAACGUGGGAACUGCAUUUGAAACUGGCAAGCUAGAGUCUUGUAGAGGGGGGUAGAAUUCCAGGUGUAGCGGUGAAAUGCGUAGAGAUCUGGAGGAAUACCGGUGGCGAAGGCGGCCCCCUGGACAAAGACUGACGCUCAGGUGCGAAAGCGUGGGGAGCAAACAGGAUUAGAUACCCUGGUAGUCCACGCUGUAAACGAUGUCGACUUGGAGGUUGUGCCCUUGAGGCGUGGCUUCCGGAGCUAACGCGUUAAGUCGACCGCCUGGGGAGUACGGCCGCAAGGUUAAAACUCAAAUGAAUUGACGGGGGCCCGCACAAGCGGUGGAGCAUGUGGUUUAAUUCGAUGCAACGCGAAGAACCUUACCUACUCUUGACAUCCACAGAAUUUGGCAGAGAUGCUAAAGUGCCUUCGGGAACUGUGAGACAGGUGCUGCAUGGCUGUCGUCAGCUCGUGUUGUGAAAUGUUGGGUUAAGUCCCGCAACGAGCGCAACCCUUAUCCUUUGUUGCCAGCACGUAAUGGUGGGAACUCAAGGGAGACUGCCGGUGACAAACCGGAGGAAGGUGGG
rnacentral:rRNA from 1 species